rnacentral:rRNA from 1 species
UACGAAGGGGGCGAGCGUUGUUCGGAAUUACUGGGCGUAAAGGGCGCGCAGGCGGUCCUUCAAGUCAGAUGUGAAAGCCCCGGCUCAACCUGGGAACAGCAUUUGAGACUGGAGGACUUGAGGACGGGAGAGGGUAGUGGAAUUCCCGGUGUAGUGGUGAAAUGCGUAGAUAUCGGGAGGAACACCAGUGGCGAAGGCGACUACCUGGCCCAUUCUUGACGCUGAGGCGCGAAAGCUAGGGGAGCGAACGGGAGUUAAG